CUGGCCUCCAAUUUGUGACCCUCCUGCCUUCAUCUCCAAAUUGCUGGGCUUACAGGUGAGUACCACCACACCUGACCGCCAGUGGCUUUUAUUGAAAUAUGUGUUUGUUUAUCCAGUUUUCUUUUCCUCUUUCAGUUAUCAUAGUGGUGAGUGCAAAGGUCUGUUACAACAUCCUACAUUCCAGAGAGAAGGCAAACUUUCCCCUUUUGGCAUUAGAGGAAUCUGCAAGAGAUGUGAACUGCAGGCAUGUGAACUAAUGUGUGGGAAAGAUGGAUUUGUUGGCAAAGGCAGGAAGAGGUCCAUCUAGGAGAGCCGGGAUACAUGCAAAGGAUGCUGUGACGACGAACAAAACGGGAAAGAUGACAUGGGGGAGCACUUUCAAGUUGUCAGACAGAUUCAAAUCUGUGUCUGUCCAACUGCAGAGCCUAAACUUUUGGUCAUCCGAUCUAUGAAGUUGUAUCCCCGAGAGUGGCUGAUAGAGAACUAAAACUCUUUGGUUUAAGUGGUUCUCCUGGUGUAUUCGUGAGACAUACUUUUGGCUUUGGGGCUUCUACAUUCAACUUUGUUUUACCUGAGAAUGGCUAAGAAGAUUCCCAAAACUCAUGUCAAACUCAUGACUUUCAUUGUAAGUUUCCUUUGCAAGUUUUUAAAAUGUAGCUUGUGAUGAACAAGAGUGUAGACUGUCUAAAAUUAAAUUUAUUGUAACUAUAAAAAACACAUGGCAUUGUACAUAUUUGGGGGGAACUAGGUGAUAUUCCCAUAUGUGUAUACAUUUUAUACAUUGUGUACAGUGCAUACUUUUUGAUUGGUAACUGGAUAAAUUAAGCAUGAAAUGUUUUUUAAAGUUUUUUUUUAGUUGUCAAUGGACCUUUAUUUUAUUUAUUUCUAUGUGGUGCUGGGAAUCCAAUCCAGUACCUCACACAUUCUAGGCAAGCGCUCUACCACAACCCCGGCCCCCAAGCAUGAUAAUCUUGUUCUAAUAAAAAAGUUUAUUUAUUUUUCUCCAUUGACUUAGCUUCUAGAAAUCUGUCUUGAGGCAUAAUUGCAGACAGAGUCUUAUGUGGAAAGUUAUGUAUAUAAUGAGCACAAAUUCAGAAAGGACUCAAAUGUCUUAUAUAAAGGAAUGAUAUAUAAUAUACAUAUAUAAUAAUACAUAUGACGAUAAACAUACGUGAAUCAUCUCACAUGGGGCCAUCAACAUGAGACUGAUUAAAAAUAAUUAUGGCAUAGUUAUGCUAUGGAAAACUGUAAUAGUUCAAAACAAUGAAAUAAACAUACAUGCACCAAUUUGAAAAAUCUCUGAUCUAUAUUGUUAUAUAGUGUGAUACAUCCAAUGUCUCUCUAGCUGUGUACAUGUGCCAAUGCCUAGAAAACACGAGAAGGACACAUAUACUUUUAAUAGAGGUAGAUUAGUUUUGUAGAAUGUGUGUAUGUGUGCGGGGUGAUAAAGUAGGAAUUUUAUAGUUUACUGUGUAUAUUUCUGUUUUAGUUAACUUUUAUGUCAUUGUGGCCAAAAUACCUGACAAGAACAUCUUAAGGGAAAAAAAAUUGGGGGGGGUUUUACGGUUUCAGAGGUCUUAGUCCAUAAGUGGCUGAUUCCACUGCUCUAGGCCCAAGUGAGACAAAACAUCAUGGUGAAAGGGUCCAGUGAAGGAAAGCUGCUCAGGUCAGCUCAGGAUGGGCGUCAGGAAGGAGAGAGAAAGAGAGUGGG
rnacentral:lncRNA from 1 species